ensembl:snRNA U4 U4 spliceosomal RNA
AGCUUUGCACGGUGACAGUAUCGUAGCCAAUGAGGUUUAUCCGUGGUUUGAUUAUUGCUAAUUGAAAACAUUUAAAAAAACAGUUGGCAUACUGUACAUAUGGUUUUGCAACCUGCAAAAAAACGUUGACGACUUCUUUCGUGG